rnacentral:rRNA from 1 species
CCUACGGGAGGCAGCAGGGGGGAAUAUUGGACAGUGGGCGAAAGCCUGAUCCAGCAAUGCCGCGUGAGUGAUGAAGGCCUUAGGGUUGUAAAGCUCUUUUACCCGGGAUGAUAAUGACAGUACCGGGAGAAUAAGCUCCGGCUAACUCCGUGCCAGCAGCCGCGGUAAU